UACGUAGGGUGCAAGCGUUGUCCGGAAUUAUUGGGCGUAAAGAGCUCGUAGGCGGUCUGUCGCGUCGGCUGUGAAAACCCGGAGCUCAACUCCGGGCCUGCAGUCGAUACGGGCAAACUGGAGUGUUGCAGGGGAGACUGGAAUUCCUGGUGUAGCGGUGAAAUGCGCAGAUAUCAGGAGGAACACCGGUGGCGAAGGCGGAUCUCUGGGCCUUACCUGACGCUGAGGAGCGAAAGCAUGGGGAGCAAACAGG
rnacentral:rRNA from 1 species